rnacentral:rRNA from 1 species
CGUGUAGGCGGCCUUGUAAGUCGGGCGUGAAAUCCUCUGGCUCAACCAGAGACGCGCACUCGAUACUGCAAGGCUUGAGUACAGGAGAGGAAAGCGGAAUUCUUGGUGUAGCGGUGAAAUGCGUAGAUAUCAAGAAGAACACCAGUGGCGAAGGCGGCUUUCUGGCCUGUUACUGACGCUGAGGCGCGAAAGCUAGGGGAGCGAACA